rnacentral:rRNA from 1 species
GUUCCGACCUGCACGAAUGGCGUAACGACUUCCCCACUGUCUCCAGGAUAUGCUCAGCGAAAUUGAAUUCUCCGUGAAGAUGCGGAGUACCCGCGGUUAGACGGAAAGACCCCGUGCACCUUUACUGCAGCUUCAGAGUGGCAUUAGGAAAGAAUUGUGUAGAAUAGGUGGGAGGCUUUGAAACUUGGGCGCCAGUCCGAGUGGAGCCAUAAUGUGAAAUACCACCCUAUUGUUUUCUGGUGUCUAACUUAGAUCCGUUAUCCGGAUCAGGGACCCUCUGUGGCGGGUAGUUUGACUGGGGCGGUCGCCUCCUAAAGAGUAACGGAGGCGCGCGAUGGUUGGCUCAGGACGGUUGGAAACCGUCUGUUAGAGUGCAAUGGCAUAAGCCUGCCUGACUGCGAGACUGACAAGUCGAGCAGAGUCGAAAGACGGCCAUAGUGAUCCGGUGGUCCCAAGUGGGAGGGCCAUCGCUCAACGGAUAAAAGGUACGCCGGGGAUAACAGGCUGAUACUGCCCAAGAGUCCAUAUCGACGGCAGUGUUUGGCACCUCGAUGUCGGCUCAUCUCAUCCUGGGGCUGGAGCAGGUCCCAAGGGUACGGCUGUUCGCCGUUUAAAGAGGUACGUGAGCUGGGUUUAGAACGUCGUGAGACAGUUCGGU